GCGGGAGGGGCGGGGCCACGCUGCGGGCCCGGGCCAUGGCCGCCGCCGAUGCCGAGGCAGUUCCGGCGAGGGGGGAGCCUCAGCAGGAUUGCUGUGUGAAAACCGAGCUGCUGGGAGAAGAGACACCUAUGGCUGCCGAUGAAGGCCCAGCAGAGAAACAGGCAGGAGAGGCCCACAUGGCUGCGGACGGUGAGACCAACGGGUCUUGUGAAAACAGUGAUGCCAGCAGUCAUGCAAAUGCUGCAAAACACACUCAGGACAGCGCGAGGGUCAACCCCCAGGAUGGCACCAAUACACUAACCCGGAUAGCGGAAAACGGGGUUUCAGAAAGAGACUCAGAAGCAGGGAAGCAAAACCAUGUCACUGCCGAUGACUUUGUGCAGACUUCUGUCAUCGGCAGCAACGGAUACAUCUUAAAUAAGCCGGCCCUGCAGGCCCAGCCCUUGAGGACUACCAGCACUCUGGCCUCUUCGCUGCCUGGCCAUGCUGCAAAAACCCUUCCUGGAGGGGCUGGCAAAGGCAGGACUCCAAGCGCUUUUCCCCAGACGCCAGCCGCCCCACCAGCCACCCUUGGGGAGGGGAGUGCUGACACAGAGGACAGGAAGCCCCCGGCCCCUGGCACUGACGUCAAGGUCCACAGGGCACGCAAGACCAUGCCGAAGUCCGUCGUGGGCCUGCAUGCAGCCAGUAAAGAUCCCAGAGAAGUUCGAGAAGCUAGAGAUCAUAAGGAACCAAAAGAGGACAUCAACAAAAACAUUUCUGACUUUGGACGACAGCAGCUUUUACCCCCCUUCCCAUCCCUUCAUCAGUCGCUACCUCAGAACCAAUGCUACAUGGCCACCACAAAAUCACAGACAGCUUGCUUGCCUUUUGUUUUAGCAGCUGCAGUAUCUCGGAAGAAAAAACGAAGAAUGGGAACCUAUAGCCUGGUUCCUAAGAAAAAGACCAAAGUAUUAAAACAGAGGACAGUGAUUGAGAUGUUUAAGAGCAUAACUCAUUCCACUGUGGGUUCCAAGGGGGAGAAGGACCUGGGCGCCAGCAGCCUGCACGUGAAUGGGGAGAGCUUGGAGAUGGACUCAGACGAGGACGACUCAGAGGAGCUCGAGGAGGACGACGGUCACGGCGCAGAGCAGGCGGCUGCGUUCCCCACGGAGGACAGCAGGACCUCCAAGGAGAGCAUGUCAGAGGCUGACCGCGCCCAGAAGAUGGACGGGGAGUCUGAGGAGGAGCAGGAGUCCGUGGACACCGGGGAGGAGGAGGAAGGCGGUGACGAGUCUGACCUGAGUUCGGAAUCCAGCCUCAAGAAGAAAUUUCUCAAGAGGAAAGGAAAGACCGACAGUCCCUGGAUCAAGCCAGCCAGGAAAAGGAGGCGGAGAAGUAGAAAGAAGCCCAGCGGUGCCCUCGGUUCUGAGUCGUAUAAGUCAUCUUCAGGAAGCGGUGAGCAGACGGCACCAGGAGACAGCACAGGGUACAUGGAAGUUUCUCUGGACUCCCUGGAUCUCCGCGUCAAAGGAAUUCUGUCUUCACAAGCAGAAGGGUUGGCCAACGGUCCAGAUGUGCUGGAGACAGACGGCCUCCAGGAAGUGCCUCUCUGCAGCUGCCGGAUGGAAACACCGAAGAGCCGAGAGAUCACCACUCUGGCCAACAACCAGUGCAUGGCUACCGAGAGCGUGGACCAUGAAUUGGGCCGGUGCACAAACAGCGUGGUCAAGUAUGAGCUGAUGCGCCCAUCCAACAAGGCCCCUCUCCUUGUGCUGUGUGAAGACCACCGGGGCCGCAUGGUGAAGCACCAGUGCUGUCCCGGCUGUGGCUACUUCUGCACAGCGGGUAAUUUUAUGGAGUGUCAGCCCGAGAGCAGCAUCUCUCACCGUUUCCACAAAGACUGUGCCUCUCGAGUCAAUAACGCCAGCUAUUGUCCCCACUGUGGGGAGGAGAGCUCCAAGGCCAAAGAGGUGACGAUAGCUAAAGCAGACACCACCUCUACCGUGACACCAGUCCCCGGGCAGGAGAAGGGCUCAGCCCUGGAGGGCAGGGCCGACACCACAACGGGCAGUGCUUCUGGGCCACCACUCUCGGAGGACGACAAGCUGCAGGGUACAGCCUCCCACAUGCCCGAGGGCUUUGAUCCAACGGGACCUGCUGGGCUCGGGAGGCCAACCCCUGGCCUUUCCCAGGGACCAGGGAAGGAAACCUUGGAGAGUGCUCUCAUCGCCCUCGACUCGGAAAAACCCAAGAAGCUUCGCUUCCACCCAAAGCAGCUGUACUUCUCCGCCAGGCAAGGGGAGCUUCAGAAGGUGCUCCUCAUGCUGGUGGACGGAAUUGACCCCAACUUCAAAAUGGAGCACCAGAAUAAGCGCUCCCCACUGCACGCCGCGGCGGAGGCUGGACACGUGGACAUCUGCCACAUGCUGGUUCAGGCGGGCGCUAAUAUUGACACCUGCUCAGAAGACCAGAGGACCCCGUUGAUGGAAGCAGCCGAAAACAACCAUCUGGAAGCAGUGAAGUACCUCAUCAAGGCCGGGGCCCUGGUGGAUCCCAAGGACGCAGAGGGCUCUACCUGUUUGCAUCUGGCUGCCAAGAAAGGCCACUAUGACGUGGUCCAGUACCUGCUUUCAAAUGGACAGAUGGACGUCAACUGUCAGGAUGACGGAGGCUGGACGCCCAUGAUCUGGGCCACGGAGUACAAGCACGUGGACCUCGUGAAGCUGCUGCUGUCCAAGGGCUCCGACAUCAACAUCCGGGACAACGAGGAGAACAUUUGCCUGCACUGGGCGGCGUUCUCUGGCUGCGUGGACAUAGCCGAGAUCCUGCUGGCUGCCAAGUGCGACCUCCAUGCCGUGAACAUCCACGGAGACUCGCCGCUGCACAUCGCUGCCCGGGAGAACCGCUACGACUGUGUCGUCCUCUUUCUUUCUCGGGAUUCAGAUGUCACCUUAAAGAACAAAGAAGGGGAGACGCCCCUGCAGUGUGCGAGCCUCAACUCUCAGGUGUGGAGCGCUCUGCAGAUGAGCAAGGCUCUGCAGGACUCGGCCCCCGACAGGCCCAGCCCCGUGGAGAGGACAGUGAGCAGGGACAUCGCUCGAGGCUACGAGCGUAUCCCCAUCCCCUGCGUCAACGCCGUGGAUGGCGAGCCGUGCCCCAGCAACUACAAGUACGUCUCUCAGAACUGCGUGACGUCCCCCAUGAACAUCGACAGAAACAUCACUCACCUGCAGUACUGUGUGUGCAUCGACGACUGUUCCUCCAGCAACUGCAUGUGCGGCCAGCUCAGCAUGCGCUGCUGGUACGACAAGGACGGCCGGCUCCUGCCAGAGUUCAACAUGGCGGAGCCUCCCUUGAUCUUUGAAUGCAACCACGCGUGCUCCUGCUGGAGGAACUGCCGAAAUCGUGUCGUGCAGAAUGGUCUCAGGGCAAGGCUGCAGCUCUACCGGACGAGGGACAUGGGCUGGGGCGUGCGGUCCCUGCAGGACAUCCCACUAGGCACCUUUGUCUGCGAGUGAGUAUGUUGGGGAGCUGAUUUCGGACUCAGAAGCCGAUGUUCGGGAGGAGGAUUCUUACCUCUUUGAUCUCGACAAUAAGGACGGGGAGGUUUACUGCAUCGACGCGCGGUUCUACGGGAACGUCAGCCGGUUCAUCAACCACCACUGCGAGCCCAACCUGGUGCCUGUGCGCGUGUUCAUGGCCCACCAGGACCUGCGGUUCCCCCGGAUCGCCUUCUUCAGCACCCGCCUGAUCGAGGCCGGCGAACAGCUCGGGUUUGACUACGGAGAGCGCUUCUGGGACAUCAAAGGCAAGCUCUUCAGCUGCCGCUGCGGCUCCCCCAAGUGCCGGCACUCGAGCGCGGCCCUGGCCCAGCGUCAGGCCAGCGCGGCCCAGGAGGCCCAGGAGGACGGCCUGCCCGACACCAGCUCCGCGGCUGCCGCCGACCCGCUAUGAGACGCCGCCGGCCAGCGGGGCGCUCGGGAGCCAGGGUCCGCCGCGUCGCCGUUUAGAGGAGGAGGAGGAGAGAUUCCGCACGUGUCCUCCUUGGGGGCUGCGCCGCCGGCUUCCUGGAGGGGUCGGAGGUGAGGCUGCAGCCCCUGCGGGCGGGUGCGGACGCCUCCCAGCCACCUUCCCAGACCUGCGGCCUCGCCGCGGGCCCAGUGCCCAGGCUGGAGCGCACACUUUGGCCCGCGCCCCAAAGACGCUGGGAGUCCGCACUGGCAUCACCUUCUGAGUUUCUGAUGCUGAUUUGUCGUUGCGAAGUUUCUCGUUUCUUCCUCUGACCUCUGAGGUCCCCGCUGCACCACGGGGUCGCUUUGUUCUCCUGCCCGGCCCAGACUGUUCGGUGUGGCGCCGCCGAGGCCACCGUUAGCGCGAGCUGCUCUGUUCGCCCUGCCCGCGCCCUGCGUGGCUGGUGCCGGGUCCCAGAGGCUGCACGGAGGACACUGUCUGCUGCCAGUCUCGGAGAGUCAGGAGACCGACCCCGCCACUAACUUUGGAGAAAAUGUGGGUUUGCUUUUUAAAGGAAUCCUAUAUCUAGUCCUAUAUAUCAAACCUCUAACUGACGUUUCUUUUCGAGGAAGUGGUUUGGUGGGUGCAGCCCCCGCCGGUUCCGUUGACGCUGGCACCUUCUGUUGAUUUUUUAAGCCACAUGCUAUGAUGAAUAAACUGAUUUAUUUUCUACCAUUACUGAACAUUAGGACAAACAAAAAAUAAAAAACAAAACACAGACAACGGUGCUGAUUCUGGUGUGGUUUCUACUCACCACGUGAAAUAAACUAUCAACUGUAUAAAGAGAACAAAGUGAUUUUAGAAUAAAAUGCAGGAAAAACUUUUUUAAAAAUGUUAGUCUUGUAGUGUGAAUAAAUUUGCCAUCACCUUUUGUGUGGUGGCCUGGCAGGUCAUAUACUUUUUUUUGGCAUAUACCUUUUUAAAUACUGUAAUUAGUGCAGUAACAGUGGGGUUUUUUUUGUGCAACUCUUCUAAACAUUCAUAAUGCAGUCAUGUUUAUUUUUUUCUGUUAAAAUGUUUUUGACAGUUUUAAGAGCAGUCUUUUGGCUCUGACCAUUUCUUGUUCUGUUUUCAAUGAAAUCAAUAAAAAAAAAAAGAAGUACUUUAAA